CCUACGGGUGGCAGCAGUGAGGAAUAUUGGUCAAUGGACGAGAGUCUGAACCAGCCAAGUAGCGUGAAGGAUGACUGCCCUAUGGGUUGUAAACUUCUUUUAUAUGGGAAUAAAACGUUCCACGUGUGGGAUUUUGUAUGUACCAUAUGAAUAAGGAUCGACUAACUCCGUGCCAGCAGCCGCGGUAAUACGGAGGAUCCGAGCGUUAUCCGGAUUUAUUGGGUUUAAAGGGAGCGUAGGUGGAUUGUUAAGUCAGUUGUGAAAGUUUGCGGCUCAACCGUAAAAUUGCAGUUGAAACUGGCAGUCUUGAGUACAGUAGAGGUGGGCGGAAUUCGUGGUGUAGCGGUGAAAUGCUUAGAUAUCACGAAGAACUCCGAUUGCGAAGGCAGUUCACUGGACUGCAACUGACACUGAGGCUCGAAAGUGUGGGUAUCAAACAGGAUUAGAUACCCUUGUAGUC
rnacentral:rRNA from 1 species